rnacentral:sRNA from 1 species
ACUGCAGCCCGACUUGAGUGGAAAUCCUUUUUUGCGUGGCUUCGAGUUCUACUGAACUGAAAUCGUCGAGCAAAAAAGAUUGGGAACGGAAGGCGGAAAUAGCU